GUCUACGGCCAUGCCACCCUGAACACGCCUGAUCCCGUCUGAUCUCGGAAGCUAAACAGGGUCCGGCCUGGUUAGUACUUGGAUGGGAGACCGCCUAAGGAAGACGAGGUGUUGCAGUUG
rnacentral:rRNA from 1 species